rnacentral:rRNA from 1 species
UACAGAGGUCUCAAGCGUUGUUCGGAAUCACUGGGCGUAAAGGGUGCGUAGGUGGCGUGGUAAGUCAGAUGUGAAAGCCCGGGGCUCAACCUCGGAAUUGCAUCCGAUACUGCUAUGCUAGAGUAUUGGAGGGGAGUUUAGAAUUCACGGUGUAGCAGUGAAAUGCGUAGAUAUCGUGAGGAAUACCAAAGGCGAAGGCCGAACUCUGGACAAUUACUGACACUGAGGCACGAAGGCUAGGGGAGCAAACGGG